rnacentral:rRNA from 1 species
GGUAACGGGUAACGGGGUGUUAGGGCACGACACCGGAGAGGGAGCCUGAGAAACGGCUACCACAUCCAAGGAAGGCAGCAGGCGCGCAAAUUACCCAAUCCCGACAUGGGGAGGUAGUGACAAUAAAUAACAAUACAGGGUUCUUUUGGAUCUUGUAAUUGGAAUGAGUACAAUUUAAAUCUCUUAACGAGGAACAAUUGGAGGGCAAGUCUGGUGCCAGCAGCCGCGGUAAUUCCAGCUCCAAUAGCGUAUAUUAAAGUUGUUGCAGUUAAAAAGCUCGUAGUUGAAUUUCGGGAUCAAGGGAUCGGUCAUGCCUUGGUAUGUACUGGUUUUAUUGGUUCUCACCUUCUAAAGAACCAUAAUGUCAUUUAUUUGAUGUUAUGGGGAAUUAGGACUGUUACCUUGAAAAAAUUAGAGUGUUUAAAGCAAGCUUACGCUUGAAUACAUUAGCAUGGAAUAAUGAAAUAGGACAUCAGAUUCUAUUUUGUUGGUUUCUAGGAUCGAUGUAAUGAUUAAUAGGGAUAGUUGGGGGCAUUAGUAUUCAAUUGUCAGAGGUGAAAUUCUUGGAUUUAUUGAAGACUAACUACUGCGAAAGCAUUUGCCAAGGAUGUUUUCAUUAAUCAAGAACGAAAGUUAGGGGAUCGAAGACGAUCAGAUACCGUCGUAGUCUUAACCAUAAACUAUGCCGACUAGGGAUCGGAUGAUGUUA